GGGUAAUCACACUUUCGGGUGUGAACGACCGGCGCACGGGUGCGUAACGCGUAUGCAACCUACCCACAACUGGGGGAUAGCCCGGAGAAAUCCGGAUUAAUACCCCAUAACGCAGGGGUACUGCAUGGUACUAUUUGCUAAAGAUUUAUCGGUUGUGGAUGGGCAUGCGUCUGAUUAGUUAGUUGGUGAGGUAACGGCUCACCAAGGCAACGAUCAGUAGGGGGUCUGAGAGGAUGAUCCCCCACACUGGUACUGAGAUACGGACCAGACUCCUACGGGAGGCAGCAGUAGGGAAUAUUGGUCAAUGGGCGGAAGCCUGAACCAGCCAUGCCGCGUGUGUGAAGAAGGCCUGCGGGUUGUAAAGCACUUUCAAUCGUGAAAAAAAGCUCAUGGUUAAUACCCAUGAGUCUUGAUGUUAACGAUACAAGAAGCACCGGCUAACUCCGUGCCAGCAGCCGCGGUAAUACGGAGGGUGCGAGCGUUAAUCGGAAUUACUGGGCGUAAAGCGCACGUAGGUGGUUUAGUAAGUCGGAUGUGAAAUCCCCGGGCUUAACCUGGGAACUGCAUUCGAUACUGCCUAACUAGAGUCUAGAAGAGGGAUGCGGAAUUCCGGGUGUAGCGGUGAAAUGCGUAGAUAUCGGGAGGAACACCCAUGGCGAAGGCAGCUUACUGGGCAUUUCCUGACGCUGAGGCGCGAAAGCGUGGGUAGCAAACAGGAUUAGAUACCCUGGUAGUCCACGCCCUAAACGAUGGAUACUACGCGUAAGAGGUAUCGAUCCCUCUUGUGCCGCAGCUAACGCA
rnacentral:rRNA from 1 species